rnacentral:lncRNA from 1 species
GAGAAUGUUUAGCUUUAUUUUUGCGUUCAAUUUUAACAGAAAAAUUUACUAUCAGAGCAAAAUGGUUUAAAUCACAACUAAGCAUAUUGUAUCUGCUCUACCAAUAAUAAAAAUUACUUUGAAUAUGUCAAAUCAUAUUUUAGCAAAAAUAGUAAUUUUAAUAUAGUAUUUGGUAGAUAAAAAUGUCUGAAACUUCUACUUUAGUCGAAAACUAAAACAAAAUUUUAAGUCUCAAACAUG